GUUUUUUUUUUUUUUUUUUUAAGAUAGGCAUCAAAUGUCAUAUAGACCAGGACAUUUAAAAAAAAAAAAAUUUUUGUAAUUUCUUUUUGUUGUUAAGGUACCGGUAAUCAAUAAGUAAUUAUUCUUAAGCUUGAGUACAAAAGAAAUCAUGCAUGUUCUCAUUCUUAUUCUACAAUGACUUUAUUCAUUAAGCUAAUUAACAAAGUAGAUAUAAUAAAACUUUUGAUAUUACACAAACAAAAACAUUGUUACAGAAGAGGAAUUUCAGUCAACAAAUUACUUGGCUUGGUUAACUCUUUUUUUGUGUUAUUGAUAUAUUUAAGGAAAAAAUAUUUCCACUUGAGCCAUUGACUUUCUAUGCCAUGUUUGUGUUGGCUUGUGUUAGUCCUUUCUGUUUGUCUUCACUGUAGAAGCUCAUAUAGCCUAUCACUUCCUGUAGUGCUGCAUUGAUGUUUGGAGCAUGAUGUUAUGUUCAUCAAGCAACUACUUUGUACUCUGCCCUUUUAUGUUGUCACACUUUGAUUUUUGUUGUUAU